GACAUUUCUUAACUUGCGAGGGUUUCAGGAGCUAUAAAUACCGAUGCCUCGGAGGCGCUAGGUCUCUUUCGGGAAACACUACUGCGCCGCGGUCGCGGUACUAGCAUUCGUUUGGGAUUCCAAAUAACUUGAUUCCUGGAGAGAAGAGGAACGUCACCUGACGUGUGGUUAAGAAUGCUUUAGGGUCCAAGCCUGGGCAGUAUUUAACCCUGAAACUGCACCUUAAAAACCAGCAGAGUAAUAGUGUUCUGUUGCCUGGGUGCGUGUUGAAAUUUAUAAGGAAUUCCAGAAGACUCUUGAGUGUGGGGAGGUCAGUGAACAAACAGUAUAGUGACCUGGAAGGCCCAAGAGACCCUCUCAGGUUUCAUGUGAGGUAUACUGACACUAAGAUAGUGGCCAUUCUCAAGUAAGCUAUGGAUUUUCUUAAAAGUGGAAAGCAGAUGCCCAUGAGAAUCUACCUGUCUUAAUAAAGAGAUCCAUGUCAAUUUCUGAUGUACUCAUGAAUUAUAAUAAAGAUGACUAUAUACA